CGAACGGGUGAGUAACGCGUAGGAAUCUAUCCUUGGGUGGGGGGACAACCGUGGGAAACUACGGCUAAUACCGCAUGAUCCCUGAGGGGCAAAGGCGAAAGUCGCCUGAGGAGGAGCCUGCGUCUGAUUAGGUAGUUGGUGGGGUAAAGGCCUACCAAGCCUGCGAUCAGUAGCUGGUCUGAGAGGAUGAUCAGCCACACUGGGACUGAGACACGGCCCAGACUCCUACGGGAGGCAGCAGUGGGGAAUAUUGGACAAUGGGCGCAAGCCUGAUCCAGCAAUGCCGCGUGGAUGAAGAAGGUCUUCGGAUUGUAAAGUCCUUUUGGCAGGGACGAUGAUGACGGUACCUGCAGAAUAAGCUCCGGCUAACUUCGUG
rnacentral:rRNA from 1 species